AGUGAACGCUGGCGGUAUGCCUAAUACAUGCAAGUCGAGCGGCAGCACAGUAAGCGCUUGCCCUUACGGUUGGCGAGGGACGGGCGGGUGAGGCAUACAUAGGAAUCUACUUUUUCUUGGGGGAUAACGUAGGGAAACUUCCGCUAAUACCUCAUACGUCCUACGGGUUAAAGCAGGAGUGCUUCGGACCUUUCCCGAUUGUUUGAGACGAUGUCGGAUUAGCUAGUUGGCGAGGUAAAGGCACACCAAGGCGACGAUCCGUAGCUGGUCUGAGAGGAUGAUCAGCCACACUGGAACUGAGACACGGUCCAGACUCCUACGGGAGGCAGCAGUGGGGAAUAUUGCACAAUGGGCGCAAGCCUGAUCCAGCCACACCGCGUGGGUGAUGAAGGUCUUCGGGUUGUAAAGCUCUUUUGUUGGGAAAGAAAAUCAGCAUGUGAAUCUCCCCAUGUCCUGACGGUACCCAAAGAGUAAGCACCGGCUAACUUCGUG
rnacentral:rRNA from 1 species